rnacentral:rRNA from 1 species
AUUGAACGCUGGCGGCAGGCCUAACACAUGCAAGUCGAGCGGAUGAAGGGAGCUUGCUCCUGGAUUCAGCGGCGGACGGGUGAGUAAUGCCUAGGAAUCUGCCUGGUAGUGGGGGAUAACGUCCGGAAACGGGCGCUAAUACCGCAUACGUCCUGAGGGAGAAAGUGGGGGAUCUUCGGACCUCACGCUAUCAGAUGAGCCUAGGUCGGAUUAGCUAGUUGGUGGGGUAAAGGCCUACCAAGGCGACGAUCCGUAACUGGUCUGAGAGGAUGAUCAGUCACACUGGAACUGAGACACGGUCCAGACUCCUACGGGAGGCAGCAGUGGGGAAUAUUGGACAAUGGGCGAAAGCCUGAUCCAGCCAUGCCGCGUGUGUGAAGAAGGUCUUCGGAUUGUAAAGCACUUUAAGUUGGGAAGGGCAGUAAGUUAAUACCUUGCUGUUUUGACGUUACCAACAGAAUAAGCACCGGCUAACUUCGUG